rfam:Neosartorya udagawae DNA, contig:Aud0163, strain: IFM 46973.
CAGCCUUCUCCUAAAUGAUGAGAAAAUUUUCUUGAACCGAUACUUUUAGGAAGAGCCGGAAGAGGUAUGACUUGAGGAGAUUGCCAUAUCAAAAUUGGGGUCUCCCUUGUCGUCGGUGCUUAUAAUGGUUCUGCUGAGUGGAGUUUAGGG